UACGGGGGGGGGGCAAGCGUUGUUCGGAAUUACUGGGCGUAAAGGGCUCGUAGGCGGCCAACUAAGUCGGAUGUGAAAUCCCCAGGCUCAACCUGGGAACUGCAUCCGAUACUGGAUGGCUUGAAUUCGGGAGAGGGAUGCAGAAUUCCAGGUGUAGCGGUGAAAUGCGUAGAUAUCUGGAGGAAUACCAGUGGCGAAGGCGGGUCUCUGGACAGUUCCUGACGCUGAGGCACGAAGGUCAGGGGAGCAAACGGGG
rnacentral:rRNA from 1 species